CCUACGGGCGGCAGCAGUGGGGAAUAUUGGACAAUGGGCGAAAGCCUGAUCCAGCCAUGCCGCGUGUGUGAAGAAGGCCUUCGGGUUGUAAAGCACUUUCAGUGGGGAAGAAAGCCUUGGGGCUAAUACCCUCGAGGAAGGACAUCACCCACAGAAGAAGCACCGGCUAACUCCGUGCCAGCAGCCGCGGUAAUACGGAGGGUGCGAGCGUUAAUCGGAAUUACUGGGCGUAAAGCGCGCGUAGGCGGUCUGAUAAGCCGGUUGUGAAAGCCCCGGGCUCAACCUGGGAACGGCAUCCGGAACUGUCAGGCUAGAGUGCAGGAGAGGAAGGUAGAAUUCCGGGUGUAGCGGUGAAAUGCGUAGAGAUCGGGAGGAAUACCAGUGGCGAAGGCGGCCUUCUGGACUGACACUGACGCUGAGGUGCGAAAGCGUGGGUAGCAAACAGGAUUAGAUACCCCUGUAGUC
rnacentral:rRNA from 1 species